rnacentral:sRNA from 1 species
UCUUACUCUUAGAUGGGAAUGAUGAACAACCCCAAUCCUUAUGGUUCACCAUAUACUCAGAAUCCUGGACAGCAGAUUGGAGCCAGUGGCCUUGGUCUCCAGAUUCAGACAAAAACUGUACUAUCAAAUAACUUAUCUCCAUUUGCUAUGGACAAAAAGGCAGUUCCUGGUGGAGGAAUGCCCAACAUGGGUCAACAGCCAGCCCCGCAGGUCCAGCAGCCAGGCCUGGUGACUCCAGUUGCCCAAGGGAUGGGUUCUGGAGCACAUACAGCUGAUCCAGAGAAGCGCAAGCUCAUCCAGCAGCAACUUGUUCUCCUUUUGCAUGCUCACAAGUGCCAGCGCCGGGAACAGGCCAAUGGGGAAGUGAGGCAGUGCAACCUUCCCCACUGUCGCACAAUGAAGAAUGUCCUAAACCACAUGACACACUG